rnacentral:lncRNA from 1 species
CAAUGAUGGUUAAAGAAAUAAGCUUUGGAGCCCCAGUGCUCUGGAGUCAGAAUUUGGCUCUGCCUCUUUCCAAUUUUAUGAAAUUGGAAAAGUUACUUAAUGUCCCUGAGUUUCUUUCUCUGUAAAGUGGGUAAUUCGCCUCACUCACGUACCAUGGAUUUAUUGUGAAAGAAUAAAUGCGUUAGGGCUCGCAGAGCAUUUAGGAUGGUUGUUGUUAAUUCUAUCAGAACGACAGAAGAGGAGGAUCUUGAGGCUUGGCUCUCUCAGGUCCUGCUGUGGAAUUUCUCCAGGUCAGACAGGGUUGUACGCAGGAAUUUAUCUGUGGGGUUCUCCUUUAUCUUAACCAGAGUGUCAGGGCUUUUCUUUCCAUCUGUGAAUUGCUUUACUUUUGGUACGAACUGAAUUACGAAAAGGAAAAUAGGAUAAGGCGAACAACUGUCAUUGUAAAAGAACCAGCUCGGAAGUGGGGGGGUCUCUGUGCACCCUGUGGGAUCCCCAAGGCGGGAAGAGAGGGCGCCUCAGCAUCUGGGAGACUUGGGGCAAGUCAACCAACCCUCCUGAGAUGGCUUCGUCUUGUACAGUGGGCAGAGACAACACCUGCAUUUCCAGUGCUUUUGAGGAUUGAAUGAGAUAGUGACAUAAAGACGGUACAUGCUCGUCAAUGAAUGCCCUCUUCUCUCUUCAUAGGUCCACCAUUUGGACUAUUUUGACAGAUAAACAAAGAAACAAGAAACUCCAACAUCAGCCUCAAACUAAGCUGACAGGUGACUGGCGUCAGGGGCUUCGGCAGUCAGUGAUGUCCCAGUCUGGGCAGGGGAUGGCCUAUUCAAGAGAGGCCCCAGAUGGAGGGGAUCAGAUCUUGAAGAUGGUUUGAUGUGCUCGAAGUCAC